AUACGUAGGGGGCAAGCGUUAUCCGGAUUUACUGGGUGUAAAGGGAGCGUAGACGGUUUGGCAAGUCUGAUGUGAAAGCCCGGGGCUCAACCGCGGGACUGCAUUGGAAACUGCAGGACUUGAGUGCUGGAGGGGAUAGCGGAAUUCCUAGUGGAGCGGUAAAAUGCGCAGAUAUUAGGAAGAACACCGGUGGCGAAGGCGGCUAUCUGGACAGUAACUGACGCUGAGGCGCGAAAGCGUGGGGAGCAAACAGGAUUAGAUACCCUGGUAGUCCGUGCCGUAAACGAUGAAUACUAGGUGUAGGGGGUAUCGACUCCCUCUGUGCCGCAGUUAACACAUUAAGUAUUCCACCUGGGGAGUACGGCCGCAAGGUUGAAACUCAAAUGAAUUGGCGGGG
rnacentral:rRNA from 1 species